CAGGGAUUGCCCUAGUACCGGCGAGUGAAGCGGCAACAGCUCAAAUUUGAAAUCCUGGCUUUCGGGCCCGAGUUGUAAUUUGUAGAGGAUACUUUUGAUGCGGUGCCUUCCGAGUUCCCUGGAACGGGACGCCAUAGAGGGUGAGAGCCCCGUCUGGUUGGAUGCCAAAUCUCUGUAAAGUUCCUUCGACGAGUCGAGUAGUUUGGGAAUGCUGCUCUAAAUGGGAGGUAUAUGUCUUCUAAAGCUAAAUAUUGGCCAGAGACCGAUAGCGCACAAGUAGAGUGAUCGAAAGAUGAAAAGCACUUUGAAAAGAGAGUUAAAAAGUACGUGAAAUUGUUGAAAGGGAAGCGUUUAUGACCAGACUUGGACUUGGUUAAUCAUCUGGGGUUCUCUCCAGUGCACUUUUCCAGUUCAGGCCAGCAUCAGUUUUCGCCGGGGGAUAAAGGCAGCGGGAAUGUGGCUCUCUUCGGGGAGUGUUAUAGCCCGCUGUGUAAUACCCUGGUGGGGACUGAGGUUCGCGCUUCUGCAAGGAUGCUGGCGUAAUGGUCAUCAACGACCCGUCUUGAAACACGGACCAAGGAGUCGUCUUUGUAUGCGAGUGUUCGGGUGUCAAAACCCCUACGCGUAAUGAAAGUGAACGCAGGUGAGAGCUUCGGCGCAUCAUCGACCGAUCCUGAUGUUCUCGGAUGGAUUUGAGUAAGAGCAUACGGGGCCGGACCCGAAAGAAGGUGAACUAUGCCCUGUAUAGGGUGAAGCCAGAGGAAACUCUGGUGGAGGCUCGCAGCGGUUCUGACGUGCAAAUCGAUCGUCAAAUAUGGGCAUGGGGGCGAAAGACUAAUCGAACCUUCUAGUAGCUGGUUUCCGCCGAAG
rnacentral:rRNA from 1 species